rnacentral:rRNA from 1 species
UACGUAGGUGGCAAGCGUUGUCCGGAUUUAUUGGGCGUAAAGGGAGCGCAGGCGGUGACUUAAGUCUGAUGUGAAAGCCCACGGCUCAACCGUGGAAGGUCAUUGGAAACUGGGUCACUUGAAUACAGAAGAGGAAAGUGGAAUUCCAUGUGUAGCGGUGAAAUGCGUAGAUUUAUGGAGGAACACCAGUGGCGAAGGCGACUUUCUGGUCUGUUAUUGACGCUGAGGCUCGAAAGCAUGGGUAGCAAACAGGAUUAGAUACCCU